rnacentral:rRNA from 1 species
GAAUUUUCCGCAAUGGGCGAAAGCCUGACGGAGCGACGCCGCGUGGAGGAUGAAGGAUUUCGGUCUGUAAACUCCUGUCAGGGGGGACGAUGAUGACGGUACCCCCAAAGGAAGCAUCGGCUAACUACGUGCCAGCAGCCGCGGUAAGACGUAGGAUGCGAGCGUUGUUCGGAAUUAUUGGGCGUAAAGCGUGCGUAGGCGGCUUGUUAAGUCUGGUGUGAAAGCUAGGGGCUCAACCCCUGUGUUGCACUGGAAACUGGCAGGCUUGAGUGCGGUAGGGGAAGGUGGAAUUCCGAGUGUAGCGGUGAAAUGCGUAGAUAUUCGGAAGAACACCGGUGGCGAAGGCGACCUUCUGGGCCGCCACUGACGCUGAGGCACGAAAGCGUGGGGAGCAAACGG